GGAAGCAAUGCAAGGAGGAACAAUUAACAGCUUACUUUCUGGAGACCCAAGUUCAUUUUGGAGGGCAACUGCUUCUAUCCUGGGAGGGAAAAAGUUUUCUCCAAAAGGAUAGACGGAAGCAACAAAUGGGAAGGAAACUGACAACGCUUGUGAAAUCCCAAACCGGAUUGAGCAGAUGUGCUGUGACCCCUGCAGCAUUCGGGCUGUCAGGAUUAAAGGAGCCUCCACUCUGUUUCGAAACUGCAACUCUUGUCCCUCAGACCACCUCAACUCCACCUCUUGUUUUGUUUUUGUUUUGUGUUUUUGGUCACAAGUCAACCACUCAUCAUAAGGUGGGCAAACCCCUUGGUCCACAUUUAAAUUUGUUUGUGUGACAAAUUGGCCUGCCGUUCUGCCCUCUUAGC
rnacentral:lncRNA from 1 species